rnacentral:rRNA from 1 species
AUGGUGGAGGAGGACGUAGAGAAGACGGCUUUCUUAACCCCGUGCGGGGUGUACUGCUACACCUGCAUGCCGUUCGGGCUACGUAACGCUGGGGCGACCUUCCAGCAGCUGAUGCACAUCGCUCUAGGCCAACAGCUCGGGAGGAACGCUGAGGCCUACGUCGACGACAUUGUGGUGAAAUCUCGGGAGGCAAGGACCCUCAUUGAGGAUCUGGAGGAGACUUUUGCCAGCCUGUGCAAGGUAAACCUGCGGCUCAACCCGGAGAAAUGCGUGUUCGGCGUCCCCUCCGGCAAGCUGCUGGGUUUCCUCAUGUCGCGCAGGGGGAUCGAGGCAAAACCGGAGAAGGUCAAAGAAAUAGAAGACAUGAGCCUGCCACGGACUCUCAAGGAAAUGCAAAAACUCACGGGCUGCCUGACCUCGCUGGGGCGCUUCAUCUCCAAGCUGGGGGAGCGCGCCCUCCCGUUCUUCAAGCUGAUGAAGAAGAAGGGCCCGUUCGAGUGGACCCCGGAGGCUGACAUGGCAUUUCAAGACCUCAAGAGAUACUUAACC